UUCUUAUUGUUGAGUAGUUGU
rnacentral:misc_RNA from 1 species